UACGUAGGGUGCGAGCGUUGUCCGGAUUUAUUGGGCGUAAAGAGCGUGUAGGCGGCCAGGUAGGUCUGGUGUGAAAACUCGAGGCUUAACCUCGAGAUGUCAUCGGAAACCAUUUGGCUAGAGUCCGGAAGAGGAGAGUGGAAUUCCUGGUGUAGCGGUGAAAUGCGCAGAUAUCAGGAAGAACACCAAUGGCGAAAGCAGCUCUCUGGGACGGUACUGACGCUGAGACGCGAAAGCGUGGGGAGCGAACAGG
rnacentral:rRNA from 1 species